rnacentral:rRNA from 1 species
AGUCGAGCGAACCCUUCGGGGUGAGCGGCGGACGGGUGAGUAACGCGUGGGUAACCUGCCCUGUACACACGGAUAACAUACCGAAAGGUAUGCUAAUACGAGAUAAUAUGUAAUGAUCGCAUGGUCGAUACAUCAAAGCUCCGGCGGUACAGGAUGGACCCGCGUCUGAUUAGCUAGUUGGUGAGGUAAUGGCUCACCAAGGCGACGAUCAGUAGCCGACCUGAGAGGGUGAUCGGCCACGUUGGAACUGAGACACGGUCCAAACUCCUACGGGAGGCAGCAGUGGGGAAUAUUGCACAAUGGGCGAAAGCCUGAUGCAGCAACGCCGCGUGAGCGAUGAAGGCCUUCGGGUCGUAAAGCUCUGUCCUCAAGGAAGAUAAUGACGGUACUUGAGGAGGAAGCCCCGGCUAACUACGUGCCAGCAGCCGCGGUAAUACGUAGGGGGCUAGCGUUAUCCGGAUUUACUGGGCGUAAAGGGUGCGUAGGCGGUCUUUCAAGUCAGGAGUGAAAGGCUACGGCUCAACCGUAGUAAGCUCUUGAAACUGUAAGACUUGAGUGCAGGAGAGGAGAGUGGAAUUCCUAGUGUAGCGGUGAAAUGCGUAGAUAUUAGGAGGAACACCAGUUGCGAAGGCGGCUCUCUGGACUGUAACUGACGCUGAGGCACGAAAGCGUGGGGAGCAAACAGGAUUAGAUACCCUGGUAGUCCACGCCGUAAACGAUGAGUACUAGCUGUCGGAGGUUACCCCCUUCGGUGGCGCAGCUAACGCAUUAAGUACUCCGCCUGGGAAGUACGCUCGCAAGAGUGAAACUCAAAGGAAUUGAC